CCAAGUCUCUAAGCAAUGGAUGUCUUGGCUCCUCACACGAUGAAGAACGUGGCAUAAUGUGUUAAGUAACCGGAGUUGCAAACAUCAUGACAGGUUAAUCUUUGAAUGCAAAUUGCGCUAAACUCGAUCUCGGUCGAGAAGCAUGGGUGUGACAGUACUACAUCUUUUAUAAUAAUUCUUAUUCUAAGCGAAUAAGUAAAUAAUAUAUAAGACAAACAACACGUAGUCUGCCAUACGCAGGAAGACCCGCUGAACUGAAGCAUCUCAUUAAGCGGAGGAAAAGAAACUAACUAGGAUUCCCUUAGUAAAGGCGAUCGAAAAGGGAACAGCCCAACGUCUUAAUCCCGCAAGGGAAAUGUAGUCGGUUCACCUAUUGCACUGGUCUAAGUCAGAUGGAAUGCUGCGCGAUUCAGAGUAAAAGCCUCGUAUGACCAACCGCAAGCUUACGAUGGACCGGGGAGAGUCGGAUACUUUGAGAGUAGUGUCUUAAGGGGGUGGUAUGUCCCAUCCAAGGCUAAAUAACGUGAGGAGACCGAUAGAUUACAAGUAGUGUGAACGAAAGAUGAAAAGAACUCUAAAACAGAGGGUGAAAAGUUCCUGAACUUGCUUAGGGUUAAGGCUAUUUAUAGUACCCGUCUUGAAACACGGAUUAGGGAGUUUAUCUGUAGUGCGAGUCUUUGCACGUUAACUGUAAAGGCGUAGAGAAAGCAACUGGCGUUUGCAUGGCUACUGAGCAUUACUGAUAGGACCCGAAAGGUGGUGAACUUUGCCUGCACAGGUUGAAGUCAGGGGAAACUCUGAUGGAGGACCGUACGGGUUAUUGAUGUGCAAAUCAUUUUUCUGAUGUAGGUAAAGGUGCGAAAGACUCAUCGAACCACCUAAUAGCUGGUUUCCUCCGAAGUUUCCCUCAGGAUAGCUGUAAUGCAUUUAGUUAAGGGGAGUAGAGAUAUGGGUAGAGGUGCAGGGAGCCUUCGGGUUCUCAACUUAUUUCCAAACUUCGAACCUCCUUGUUAGGCAUUUACCUAACUGGAAAUGCUUAAAUGAAUUAGCGUUACAAGUGGGCUCUGACCGGUAAGCGGUCAUGGCGAAAUGGGAUGAACCAUACGUCUGAAUAAGGUGCCGAAAUGUACUAUCACUGAUACCAUAAAGGGAGUCCAUGUAUUUAGACAGCAGGUCGGUGCCCCUAAAAGCAGGUAUCCGCUAAAGAGUGUGUUAAAACUCACCUGCCGAAUACUAGGGCCCCGAAAAUGAAUGGCGCAUAUAGUACUACCGAUCUCAGACAUCAGUUCUAUUGAACUGAGAGUAGGGGGAUGUGGACAUUUUUGUGAAGGUGCAAUGUGAGUUGGACUGGAAGAAUGUCUAUUACAGAUCCUAAUUGAAGUAGCGAUUAUCCAGGCUUGUAUCCUGGGGGCUGAUGAGGAGUAGGGUUUCUGGACAACUUAAACAGAUCCAGAGUUAGUCGAUCCUAAUCUCAAUAAUGGGAGAAAGGGAGUACAGUUGAUAUUCUGUAACUGACAACAGUUCGCGGCAACGCAUACUAUUUUUCUCCGCCAAUCUUAUACCGUUGGUAGGGAUCUCUUUCCUACAUGACAGUACUAAUACCCAGGGAAACUGGUCAUCAGGCGAACUGCGGCGUUCUGCUGGCAAAACAUAGCUUCGGUUAUGUCAAUGGCUAUUGGAUUGGUCCAUGAAGCGAAAAAUAGUUUACUGUGUCACUCGUACCGAUAACCGCAUCAGGUCUUCUAGGUAAGUAGCCUAUGGCCAUUGAGGCAUGAUAGUUCAGGGAAUUCGGCCAAUUAGAGCUGUAACUUCGGGAUAAAGCUUGGCUCUGAUGAAAAUCAGAACCGAUUGUUACGCGGAGAGCCCAACUGUUUAAUAAAAACGUAGUGUCGCGCUGUGGUAGUAUAGCCAGUGAACGCGACAUGAAUCCUGCUCAGUGCUGUGUCUGUUAAUAUGGUUCAAGCCAACGAAGCACCGGUAAAUAGCUGGGGUAACUAUGACUCUUAUCAAAGUAGCGAAAUACCUCGUCACUUAAUUAGUGACCUGCAUGAACGGAGCUAUGAGGUUCUCACUGUCCCAAACUGUCUCUCAGCGAACCAACUGUAGUGGGAACGGUCACUAGAUAUCCAGCGGGGAAAGAAGACCCUGUAGAGCUUCACUUUGGUCUAGUCUUGUAUAGUUCCUGCGGGGGUGUAGACUAGGUGGGAGAGCAAUCGAUUCUGAAAAACCACUACCCUGUUUGGAAUUAUGCUUACCUAUCACAAGGAAUAGGACUAGAUAGAAAGUUUGGCUGGGGCGGCACACCUUCGAAAGAGCAGCGAAGGUGUCCUAAGUUGAGCUCAGUGAGGACAGAAAUCUCACGUUGAGGAUAAGGCCAAAAGCUCAAUUUACUGUGCCUUUUUGUACUAGGAUCAGUUACGAAAGUAAGGCCUAACGAUCCCUAAAUAGCCUCAGGUGCGUGAGGAUUGGGGUGACAGACAAGUUACCUCCGGGACAACUGGCUUGUGGCUGCUAAGAGAUCAAAUCAACGCAGCUUUUUGAUUCUUCGAUGUCGGCUCUUCCUAUCCUAGUGAUGUACAAGUUGCUAAGGGUCGGAUUGUUCACCCGUAUUAGGGAUCGUGAGCUGGGUUUAGACCGUCGUGAGCCAGGUUUGUUUUAUCCUACUGGAUAUAGCAUCAUGAUAGUAGAUUGAUUUAGUACGAGAGGAACUGUUGAUUAUGGCCUCUGGUUAGCGAUUAUCGGAAACGGUAUGUCGCGCAGCUACGCCGUCUGGGAUAAUGGCUGAAAGCCUCUUAAGCCAGAAGCCCAUCUAGAAAGUGAUGCACGUGAUGUUGGACCGAUACGAAUAAUCAUACUCAAAAGGUCCGCUUCAUAGGUAACCCAAUGUAGAAGACAUUGUGUGAACGAAGGUACUGUAAGCAGUGGAGUGGCAUUACGUCCACGACCUGUUGAGGUUCAGCUUCGCUUCUAGGUUUCCAAAUAUU
rnacentral:rRNA from 1 species